UACGUAGGUGGCAAGCGUUGUCCGGAAUUAUUGGGCGUAAAGCGCGCGCAGGUGGUUUCUUAAGUCUGAUGUGAAAGCCCACGGCUCAACCGUGGAGGGUCAUUGGAAACUGGGGAACUUGAGUGCAGAAGGGGCAACUGGAAUUCUUGGUGUAGCGGUGAAAUGCGUAGAUAUCAAGAGGAACACCUGCGGCGAAGGCGGGUUGCUGGGCUGACACUGACGCUGAGGCGCGAAAGCUAGGGGAGCGAACGGG
rnacentral:rRNA from 1 species